rnacentral:rRNA from 1 species
AGGUCCUACGGGACGCAGCAGUGGGGAAUAUUGGACAAUGGGGGGAACCCUGAUCCAGCGACGCCGCGUGAGUGAAGAAGUAUUUCGGUAUGUAAAGCUCUAUCGGCAGGGAAGAAAGAAAUGACGGUACCUGACUAAGAAGCCCCGGCUAACUACGUGCCAGCAGCCGCGGUAAUACGUAGGGGGCAAGCGUUAUCCGGAUUUACUGGGUGUAAAGGGGGCGCAGACGGCGAUGCAAGCCAGGAGUGAAAGCCCGGGGCCCAACCCCGGGCCUGCUCUUGGAACUGCGUGGCUGGA